rnacentral:misc_RNA from 1 species
AUCGACACUCAUGACUAUGAAGUGAAGAUGAAGAACAUGCUGCGCUUCUUUGAUGAUGGUGAUAAAGUGAAGGUAACUCUUCGCUUCCGUGGCCGUGAAAUGGCUCACCAGGAUCUCGGAAUGAAACUACUUCUGAAAGUCAAAGCAGAGACUGCGGACAUCGCUAAAGUCGAGUCCCAUCCUAAGCUUGAAGGACGGCAGAUGAUGAUGGUGCUUGCACCUAUUUCUCGUUAAUAGGAUCAGGUUGAAGGGCUCCAGCGAUUUGUCUGUGUAGGUACUCAACCGAAGCUCCGAAAACUCUGAAAAUACCCGGUACACUAGUGCCGGG